AUUGAACGCUGGCGGCAGGCCUAACACAUGCAAGUCGAACGAGUGGCGGACGGGUGAGUAAUGUCUGGGAAACUGCCUGAUGGAGGGGGAUAACUACUGGAAACGGUAGCUAAUACCGCAUACCAUCAGAUGGGCCUAGAUGGGAUUAGUUAGUUGGUGGGGUAACGGCUCACCAGGGCGACGAUCCCUAGCUGGUCGGGGAGGAUGACCAGCGACACUGGAACUGAGACACGGGCCAGCCUCCUACGGGAGGAGGCAGUGGGGAAUAUUGCACAAUGGGCGCAAGCCUGAUGCAGAAAUGCCGCGUGUAUGAAGAAGGCGUUCGGGUUGAAAAGUACUUUCAGCGGGGAGGCGUUACCCACAGAAGAAGCACCGGCUAACUACGUGCCAGCAGCCGCGGUAAUAC
rnacentral:rRNA from 1 species